GACGAACGCUGGCGGCGUGCCUAAUACAUGCAAGUCGAGCGGACGUUUUAUUGGUGCUUGCACCGAUAAAACGUUAGCGGCGGACGGGUGAGUAACACGUGGGCAACCUACCCUAUAGUUUGGGAUAACUCCGGGAAACCGGGGCUAAUACCGAAUAAUACUUUUUGGCUCCUGUCAGAAAGUUGAAAGAUGGUUCUGCUAUCGCUAUAGGAUGGGCCCGCGGCGCAUUAGCUAGUUGGUGAGGUAACGGCUCACCAAGGCAACGAUGCGUAGCCGACCUGAGAGGGUGAUCGGCCACACUGGGACUGAGACACGGCCCAGACUCCUACGGGAGGCAGCAGUAGGGAAUCUUCCACAAUGGGCGAAAGCCUGAUGGAGCAACGCCGCGUGAGUGAAGAAGGAUUUCGGAUCGUAAAACUCUGUUGUUAGAGAAGAACAAGGACGUUAGUAACUGAACAUCCCCUGACGGUAUCUAACCAGAAAGCCACGGCUAACUACGUGCCAGCAGCCGC
rnacentral:rRNA from 1 species